AUUGAACGCUGGCGGCAGGCUUAACACAUGCAAGUCGAGCGGAGAUGAGGUGCUUGCACCUUAUCUUAGCGGCGGACGGGUGAGUAAUGCUUAGGAAUCUGCCUAUUAGUGGGGGACAACAUUCCGAAAGGAAUGCUAAUACCGCAUACGCCCUACGGGGGAAAGCAGGGGAUCUUCGGACCUUGCGCUAAUAGAUGAGCCUAAGUCGGAUUAGCUAGUUGGUGGGGUAAAGGCCUACCAAGGCGACGAUCUGUAGCGGGUCUGAGAGGAUGAUCCGCCACACUGGGACUGAGACACGGCCCGGACGCCUCCGGAAGGCAGCAGUGGGGAAUAUUGGACAAGGGGCGGAAGCCUGAUCCAGCCAUGCCGCGUGUGUGAAGAAGGCCUUUUGGUUGUAAAGCACUUUAAGCGAGGAGGAGGCUACCUGGAUUAAUACUCUAGGAUAGUGGACGUUACUCGCAGAAUAAGCACCGGCUAACUCUGUGCCAGCCGCCGCGGUAAAAC
rnacentral:rRNA from 1 species